CUCGUUUUAUCCCAUCAAUUCUUCUUUCAAUACCUGCUCAGUGUUCGUUCGAUUCUGUCUUCUUUGGGAACAGUUUCGGAUAGCCAAGGUCGAUCUUUUAGAGUUUUGAUUUCAAGAAGAGGCGAAAUCUGGAGUGGUUCUUAGUUUCUGGUACAGCAAGCGUUUGGCAACUGGGAUGGCAAUGCCCGAAGAGUUGCAAGCAAACUUGGGCCAUGGAGAAGUUGAUUCAUUGGUAAAUGGAGAUGGGAAACACAUCUUAGCUAAAACUGUAUCGAACUCAUCAUGGAAAAUGGAAGAACAUGAGCUUCAAUUUCAAAUUGCUGUGAAGGAUGAGGACCAUUCAGAAUCCAAAUUAGCAAUUGGUAGUAUCGUAAAUGACAAUAUGCUCAAAACUGAAAAACUUGAAGUAGAUGAGCUUCAGUAUGUACCUCCUGUGAAUGAUGAGAACCUUUCAGAACCAGAAGUAGAUGAGAUUCUGCUCGAAACUGAAAAAUGGAAGAGCACGAGCUCCAACUUGAAACUUAUGUGAAUGACCAUUUUAUAUCUGAAAUAGCUAUCAGUGCGCUAAUAAAUGAGAAUCUGUUAGAAGUUGAGAAAAUGGAUGAACUAGAGCUUCAACUCGAAACUUCUGUAAGAGAAAAGUCAGUUGAAUCAUCAAAUGUGAUUCAAGAGAAAGAAAGGGACAAAGAACCACGGCAACCUGUAAACAUCAGUUGUUGUUGCAUAGGGUUGCCCUUGAAAGAUUAAAGAAGGAUUUGUCAGAUUUAACCAAAGAAAAGGUGACACUAGUCCAUACUGUGGCAGACCUUAACCUGAAGUUAUCAAUGAAUGUGAAUCUAUGCAAACAAUUAGAAGACAAGUUGGAUUUGGCUUACCAGAUCCUUACCAAGACAGAGUCACUUCUUUCACAAGCAUUGCUACGUAACAAGGAGCUUGAGAAAAAGUAUAAAUUUCUUGGAAAAAUUCAUGAUGACAUGAAAAUAGCAACACAUACUGUUUAUAAUAGAAAUCUUGAGUUAGAGGAUCUACUUGAGGCAUCAAAAUUAGCCGAGCAGAGCAUUAAAGAAAACCUUUGGAAGAUUGAAAAUAGAGAUCAUACUCUGAGAAAUGUAAUGCAGUGAUCAAGCAACACAUGAAUCUUACUGAGAUGAGACGCCUUGAAGCAGAGAGGAAAAAAUAACUCAUUUCUUUUAUAAGAAAAAUUAAUGAAAAAAUCUCCCUAUCAACACUUGGUUUCGAGGAACAUGACAAUACGAUUGGCCAGUUGGAUUUUUUAUUGAACAAGUCUUUGCAUGGGAAAACAGAUCUUAGCAAGGAAAACUAUGAUCUCCAUUCUUAUGCAGAGAAUUUGGAACAUAUUACUGGAACACAUUGGCGUAGUCUUGAGCAAGAAUGUAAGUUACAAUCAUCUCAUUUGAAGUCUUAUAAUGCAAUAAAAGAAGUGGUCAGUUAAGGCUAUCACUGGAAGCAGCUAAUCAUCAAGUACAAGAGCUUGAAAAACUAGUGGCAAGUACAAAGGCUAAACGUGAAGAUGUAGAAAUCGAAUCAAAGCGAUACAUGAGCAAGGUUUCCUCACUUUUAGCUGAAAUUGAUGCCUACAAAGAAAGAACAUCAAGUCUUGAAGUUUCGUUGCAAGCUUCAAAGGAAGAGGAGAGAGAAUUAAUAGAUGCAUUGAAUGCCAACAAUGAUGAAAGAAAUAAAAUAGAAACCUUAUAUGAUAUUCAGGGAAAAGAUCAUGCUAAAGCACAGGGCAUGAUUGAGAACUUGCCCAAUAAAUUCAAAUCUGUAGAAGUGGAAAUGGAAAUUGCUGAUGAAGAAUUUGAAGGUUCCGUUCAUAGAGAGCAAGAACUAGUUGAGAAGCUUAAUUAUACUAGGCAACAACUAGUGCAUCAAGAGAAAGCUUUGGAAGAAAGUACUGCCAGGAGAAGGGAGAUGAUAUUAAUGAAUGAAGCUCUGGUAAAGGAUUUAGAGUUUAAACUUCAAAAAGCAACACUGAGUAUUAAACAAAAGGAAUCUCAAGUUAUAGAAUUGCUUGAGAAGUUAAAGUUUCUUGAAGAAGAAAAGGCAAUAUACAAAGAUGAGGCAAUUGAAGCUAAUGAGAUUAGUGCUACACUGAAGGCAGAGCUGGAGGCAAAUGCAGUGAAAUCGGUUUCCCUGAAGAACAAAGUUGAAGAGCUUAAUCAUAUAAUUUUACAAUAUCAUUCAGAAUUUGAAGAAAUGGCUUUGGAAAAUGAAAUGAUGGCUGGCACAAAUUCAAAGCUUCAGACAAGUUUGGAAGCUCAUCGGCUCAAACUUGAAGAACUAAACCAGUUUUUGAGCUUGAAUCAUUCAGAGAUGGAAGCAACUGCUAGACAGCUUGCUUCUAAUGCAAAAACCCAUGGAAAAAUUAACGGAUGAGAAUUCAGGGUUGCUAGAACUCCAGUCUGCAAUGGAAUUGCGUCUUAAGGACACUGAGGUCCAGCUGCAUGUAACAAUUGAGAAACUUGAAGGAAAAUAAUAUGAACUUACAGACUUGAAAGACAAGAUGUUUGCACAUGAAGCUCAAUUGAGGAAUUAUGAAGAUCAGUUAAGUGAAUUAACUGUCAUUGCAUCAAAUUGUAGAGAUAAGCUAGUAAGCACUCUUAAGGAAGUGCAUAAUUUGGAAACUACGAUUGAGCAACUUCAGAGAAGCUUAGAUGAAUCCAAAAAUGCAAAUGCCUAUUUAACCAGGAAAAAUCUCAGCCUAUCUCAGGAUUUGGCAGCAAAAGAGACAAAAAUGAAAGAGUUACUAAUUAAGUUUGAUACUCUUGUUAUCGAGAAAGAUGUUAUGUCCUCUCAACAUCAUUCAUUUAAGGAAGAAAUUGUAGCUCUUAUGCAGCAGAUUAACUCUGACAGGGAGAUGCACCAACUGCAGGUUGUUAUUUGUUUGCCUGAUAUUUCUUUGUGAGAAAUUAAAACAUUUUGCCUCAGUUCAUGAAAGAACAGUUCUUUUCUCCUGGGGCAAUGGUACAAUGAUUUGGCCUUCUAACGGAUAACCAAGGGAUCUAAGGUUCGAAUCUCAGCUGCAUAAGUUUUUUCAUCCCGUGAGAAGGGAGUCGAAAAAUGCUGGCUUGGAUGGGCCGAGCACUUCCUAAUUUACCCUGGUCAUCCGUGGAAAACUUCUAUGGUCCCCGGCCGGUCAUUUCAGAAUUAGUCGAUUUGAAGAGUUGAAUACCUAGUGCUAACUAAAAAGUAAUUUCAAAAAAUGAAAGAAAGUGCUUUCAUAUUUAGUUGUAAUUUUUGAAGUACAAGGUAAAAUAUUUUUAUUUGAAAUUUUUUCUCCAACAGAUGACUACCUCCUAGGAAGAAAAUAACAAUCUUUUUAAAGCUCAUAAAAAAUAUAGAAGAACUUGAAGCAAUAAUGAUCAAUUUUGAAGAACAAUUAAGUGAAUCUAAGACCACAGAAAUCUCUCUGAGAACCCACGUGGAAAAUCUUAAAGCAGAGUUAGCUGAUAGAUCACUUAUGCAAGAACAAAAUUCCAAGCUUGAACAGAAGCUAGAACUUGCCAAGAAGAGAUAUAUGGAAAAGACUAAAGGCACAAAAUUGGCUAUGGAGAAGGAAGCUAUACUGAUCAAUCAGCAGCAUGCAAGCGUAGUUGAAGAAAGAAAUAAUUUACUUCAGCAAUUGAAGAAAGUUCAAAAUGAAUUUUCUAAUCUAUGCUAAUUUCUGGUGUCACUACUUUCUCCAUCAUAGUA